rnacentral:misc_RNA from 1 species
UGUUGUAGGCAUAGUUCUCCAAAGUGUUCUUGGCUUCGACCUUCUUCUUGAGCUCCUCAUCCUCAGACUUGUAUUUCUCUGCCUCCUGCACCAUCUUCUCGAUUUCCUCCUUGCUCAGCCUGCCCUUGUCGUUAGUGAUGGUAAUUUUGUUCUUCUGCCCGGUGGUCUUGUCCUCUGCUGAGACAUUGAGGAUACCGUUCGCAUCAAUGUCGAAGCAGACCGUAAUCUGCGGCACACCACGGGGAGCAGGGGGGAUGCCAGAAAGCUCAAACUUGCCAAGUAAGUUGUUGUCCCUGGUCCUGGUCCUCUCACCCUCAUAAACUUGGAUCAAGACACCAGGUUGGUUAUCAGAGUAGGUGGAGAAGACCUGCUCCUUUUUGGUAGGAAUAGUCGUAUUCCUCGGAAUCAAAACUGUCAUGACUCCACCAGCCGUCUCCAGCCCAAGCGAGAGCGGUGUCACAUCCAGUAACAAAAGAUCCUGCACUUUCUCAUUGCCCUCACCACUCAAGAUAGCAGCCUGGACAGCAGCACCGUAUGCAAUAGCCUCAUCAGGGUUAAUACUCUUGCAGAGUUCCUUCCCAUUGAAGAAAUCUUGUAGUAACUGCUGCACCUUAGGAAUCCUAGUCGACCCACCGACAAGAACCACAUCAUGAACAGAGCUCUUGUCCAUCUUAGCAUCCCUCAGACACUUCUCAACAGGCUCCAUGCAUUUCCUGAAAAGAUCCAUGUUGAGCUCCUCAAAUCUAGCACGAGUAAUGGUGGUGUAGAAGUCGACGCCUUCAUAGAGAGAAUCAAUCUCGAUGGUGGUUUGUGCGGUGGAGGAAAGAGUCCUCUUUGCCCGCUCACAUGAAGUCCUCAACCUCCUGAGCGACCUAGGGUUUCCACUGAUAUCUUUCUUGUGCUUCCUCUUGAAUUCU